AGUUCAUUAGCAUGUGCCCUAAAACGAAUAGCAAUAGAUUAAUGCCAUAUCACCUGCUCCAGUGUGUACAUAUAUAGGCUGUGUCCGCCUGUGCCCUGUUACGGGUGAGAGGGUGAACUAUCAUCACCGGCAUCGUCCUACUGUGUGUGAUUUCGCUUUGGCUUGCGAGACGACUCUGCACGUGCAUUUUAAACGGUGAAAAUACGAGAGCAAGAGACACGCUGCUACGGAAAUGCAGCCAGGACAGCAACAGCAGCACCGUCCGUGGUACACCAAGAAGCAGCAGCCAAGGCAGAAGAAGUGCAAAACCGGAACAUCCGGAACAGCUUGUGGCAAGACCAGUCGAUCCCAAGCGAAAUGGUGGUAAUGUAGUUCGAAUAGCAGCAGCACCACCACCACCACCAAUCCCCGCUGGUCGCUGGGUGCGAGUAAUAAUGGUGGAAUAAAAGAAUUUAAUUUUAACUUGUGCUGCUCAUUCCCCAACGGUUUCUAGUCGAGUCGAGGAUGAAGCUGCUGAAGUCGAGGAUGAAGCAGAAACAAAGGCAGAACGAGCCACACCGACGCCACAUAGCAAAGGGAAAGGCUGGAAGCUGACCAGCCGAGCGCGGUUGAGCAGGGAAAUGAAAGAAAAGUGCAAUUUCCAGUUGGGAAACUUAUUUAAACAUCUCGGGAGAUAACUUUUUAUCCUGUUACACUGCCUGGUGCGAACACGGCGGUACACACGGCACAAGUAGGGUGGAUUUCCGGUUUCUUUGCCUUUUGUUUCCUGUGCACAAC